rnacentral:rRNA from 1 species
UACGUAGGGUGCGAGCGUUAAUCGGAAUUACUGGGCGUAAAGCGUGCGCAGGCGGUUCGUUGUGUCGGUGGUGAAAGCCCCGGGCUUAACCUGGGAAUGGCCAUGGAACUGGCGAACUGGAGUGUGGCAGAGGGGGAUGGAAUUCCGCGUGUAGCAGUGAAAUGCGUAGAUAUGCGGAGGAACACCGAUGGCGAAGGCAAUCCCCUGGGCCUGCACUGACGCUCAUGCACGAAAGCGUGGGGAGCAAACAGG